rnacentral:rRNA from 1 species
UGAAUAUGGGGGGACCAUCCUCCAAGGCUAAAUACUCCUGACUGACCGAUAGUGAACCAGUACCGUGAGGGAAAGGCGAAAAGAACCCCUGUGAGGGGAGUGAAAUAGAACCUGAAACCGUGUACGUACAAGCAGUAGGAGCACCUUCGUGGUGUGACUGCGUACCUUUUGUAUAAUGGGUCAGCGACUUAUAUUCAGUGGCAAGGUUAACCGUAUAGGGGAGCCGUAGCGAAAGCGAGUCUUAACUGGGCGCUCAGUCUCUGGAUAUAGACCCGAAACCGGGUGAUCUAGCCAUGGGCAGGUUGAAGGUUGAGUAACAUCAACUGGAGGACCGAACCGACUAAUGUUGAAAAAUUAGCGGAUGACUUGUGGCUAGGGGUGAAAGGCCAAUCAAACUCGGAGAUAGCUGGUUCUCCCCGAAAGCUAUUUAGGUAGCGCCUCGGACGAAUACUACUGGGGGUAGAGCACUGUUAAGGCUAGGGGGUCAUCCCGACUUACCAACCCUUUGCAAACUCCGAAUACCAGUAAGUACUAUCCGGGAGACACACGGCGGGUGCUAACGUCCGUCGUGGAGAGGGAAACAACCCAGACCGCCAGCUAA